rnacentral:rRNA from 1 species
GACGAACGCUGGCGGCGUGCUUAACACAUGCAAGUCGAACGGAAAGGCCCUGCUUUUGUGGGGUGCUCGAGUGGCGAACGGGUGAGUAACACGUGAGUAACCUGCCCUUGACUUUGGGAUAACUUCAGGAAACUGGGGCUAAUACCGGAUAGGAGCUCCUGCUGCAUGGUGGGGGUUGGAAAGUUUCGGCGGUUGGGGAUGGACUCGCGGCUUAUCAGCUUGUUGUGGGGUAGUGGCUUACCAAGGCUUUGACGGGUAGCCGGCCUGAGAGGGUGACCGGCCACAUUGGGACUGAGAUAUGGCCCAGACUCCUACGGGAGGCAGCAGUGGGGAAUAUUGCACAAUGGGCGGAAGCCUGAUGCAGCAACGCCGCGUGCGGGAUGACGGCCUUCGGGUUGUAAACCGCUUUCGCCUGUGACGAAGCGUGAGUGACGGUAAUGGGUAAAGAAGCACCGGCUAACUACGUG